UAAUGAUUAAACUCCAGGAAUGCCAAAAAGAAGGCUAGCGCCUCGCGCGCCCUCUCCGUCUUUUCUGGUCGGGUCUCAUUGUCCUUCCCGGUUUCUCUCCCGCUUUUAAGAGGCGUUGGAAAGACUGAUUUUUGGAGGCGAUGGGAGGUCCCAGCCCCGACCGGAGCUGCGGUUCCCCAGAGCAUCGGGGAAAUCAGCCCGUGGCUCCAGAAGCAAUUAGAGCGAUCCUGGAAGCGGACCGGGGGAUGCAGGGUGGGAAAGCACCUCUUCGGAUGAAGUGGAAAACCUGGGGGUGGUUUCCAUGGCAGCACCUUGCCCUAAUAACACGUGUUUAUGAUC